GUAUUUGGUCAUUUAGAACAACAACAGUCUCUCCAUUUCUUUGAAUAGUAAGUGUAUUUCGGUGUAUGUUGACAAAAGUAGAAACUACAGCAAAAACGAAGUGCCUCUAAUUUUUAAUUCGCCUUUCCUCGUACUCUGUGAUAAGAGGCGGUCAGUCGCCUUUACGACAGGAGAAGUGGAGAAUUUCCAUUGAAACGUGCCGCUCGUUAUCGUGAUAGGAAUUACGCCUGUCAUUGUAGUUUACCCGCGAACGUGACGUCUUUCGUCGUUCCUGGAGUUGACUAUACGGUAAGCUCGAACGCCGUCGCUGUUACCUCCACCGACUCAGCGUCUCGUAGCCUGGUAAUUAACUGGAUUGUGACUGUGCACGUCGGAACUAGCGUGAACGGUCCUUUUGGUGAACACGCUCUGGCCAACGGGCACAUCGAGCAUAUUUGUGUCAACCUAACAAGAUGUCGUGUCCUAGCCCACAGCCAGAUGGCUGCAUUCGUCCUAUACGGAUUCGUUCAACUGAGAGGCGUAUUUACGUUGUCCACCUAAAACCUACAGCCUGGUGUCGUGAGGGGCUCCUAGCACCAGGCAGGUUGCAGUGCGACGCUUGCAGAAAACGUCAUUCACAAGACAUCGAGCUACGUUUUAAGCAAACAACGACCAAUCAACUGAAACCUAUCGGUCCAAUGUAAAGUCUACCGCGUGUAAAAAUUUCCUCUGGUUUGGCAGCAUUUGGAUGGCCCUCAGCGAUCCGACGAUGGGAUAGACCUACUGGGUCAUUGAAAUCAUCGCAGUUUGAGAUACCCGUUACGGAUCCUACAGCUAAUCGAAUUAGAGACAAUUAUAAAUAACGACUUGUAAUAAUAUGCGCUUAAAUUCACUAAAGGUAUAUAGACAUGCACAUAUAUGCUGGACCAUUAAGUAUAUCAAAUGAACUAUUCACCUUCCACCAACAACAAUUUAACUCAAUUUGGUACCUUUUUUUUUUUUUGGGACACGUAAACUUCUUUUGUCUUUUUCUACAACACGUUGAUGCUUAAUCAAAUAAAAACCAGUUAGAGCAACAUCAUCGCCAUCACUGGUACCGUCUUUCUCGUCACCAUAACGAUCGUCGGCUGUGGCAUCAGGACAGGGAUAGGAAAAUGCAAAGCAAACACGCGGGUGCCGUAAGCGCUGCUCGGUUAUUAUCAAGUGCAUUACCCACUGUUCCGCCUGUCGUUCUUUGUUGA